UACAAAUACAACAAAAUAGAGGGGUCUAAGUGCAAAAUCUCCCGCUCUCAAUGAGUUAGGGGAUACGGGCUGAGUCACCUUCCUGGCUGCCCGAAUUGCUGUACGCAUCAGAGGUGGCUCUACAAGCAUCCUCAAUCGUGCUCAUGGCUCUGCAAGUUGGUCUCAAGGAAGGGGAGCUGAUGGAACAUGGAAUCAUCACAUCUGUUACACAUGGAGUAAUUGGAUGAUUAUCUUCACUGUCUCGAGCGAGGACAGGCUACAAGUGCAAAGAUGUCAGCUUUCCUAAGGAGAAACUUGCAAUGGCAAGGCCCAAAUGACUCAUCUAAGGCUGGAUGAUUUCUAGGAGAUUGAGGGUUUCUGUGUGGAAGCUCAACAGGUGGAAAAUCAAUUGAUGCCAUUUUUUUUUUCCUUGGGCACUGAUUGUUCCUAGUGUUGGAAGUUCUUUUUAUGGAUAUGAGCCCAUUAGAAAGAGGUCACAGAACAUUCCAAUUUGCCAAGACUUUUCUAUUAGUGUCAGGUGGCUUUUUGGUAUUAUCUCUCCCCAUCUUGACAGGGGUGGAUUAUUUUAGGAACAUGUUCUAAUUAAAGCAGUGUGUUACCAUCACUUAAUCUACAUGGUUUAGACCCAUAGAUUUUUUGGUCACAGUGCCUACAGCUGUAGAAAUUUGUUUGUUUUCCUUCUUGGGUUAAAUGAUUUGUUUUUUUUUUACAAGUCUUCUUGGGUUAAAUGAUGACGUUCCCCUUUCCAUGAAUGUGAACCUGAUGAAGACUACAAGGGUGGGAUGGUGUCUGGGGGUGGGUUUGUUUGAGGAAAAUAUUUGCCUGUCCUUGAAAGGGCUUUUGUUUCUUUGUGAGCAGUACCACCACCUUUAGCUACUUAUUAAAAAAAAAAGAAAAGGGAGAAAAGCCAUGCCAUUGAAGAGAAGCUGCACCCACUUAGUAAUAGCAUGCCAAACCCACCAUAGAUAAACAGAUAUGGUGGGGCAUGACCCUCAUUUUCCGUAAAAAAAUCAGAGUCACUUUGAUGACUUUGUUGGCCAGCUUUCUUUUGAUAAGAUGAUAAAAUUCAAAGCUGUGGGGACACUUCUUAGAUGUUGUUCACACGCUUAAUGCAUCGAGUAUUUUAUGGAUUGCUCGUGAGUAGCCAAUUUAGAGAAUAUGACAGGAAUUUGGCUUGAGGAAGAACUUCAAAUGAGGUAGGUUCAAAGCUAUAUGCAAAUAUGAAAGUGCUUUGAUGGUCACGGUCAUGAUAGUUUGGCUCAGAAUUGGAGCAUGGGGGCAUGGCGGCUACUAUAUGUUAAGCUGAACCAGAUGACAGAAAGCUGUUGAAUCUCAACUCCUCAGAGCAUUCACCAGCUCUUAACUUUCUUGGGAAAAACUUGUCUUUCUCCUUAAGCCUCUGGUUGAAUCUUGGAAAUUAGGACAAAGAAGACCCUGAUAUCAAGACAAAAUUAAGGAGCUUCUAUAAAUCUAGUCCCACUUAAUCAACUAAGUUGUUUGUCUACAUGCAAACUCCUGAAGAACUAAAGCUCCAGUUUUCUUCGUAUUUUCAGACCUUUGUUCUAUGAAAAAUUGUAUGGAAUGAAUUAUGAUAUCUAAACUGCAAGUAAUCAUGUGGAGAUUCAGAAGUCAUACAAAAAAUUGGUUGGGCUUGGAUUUGUCUUAUACAAAGCUUCAUCUUCCUCACAACCCACCAAGGAAAUACCUUGGUUGGAAGUAGAAGAGUUCAUCGAGAGAUGGCAUCAGCAUGUUUUGCUUUACAAGAAAUGGGUCUGCUCAUAAGCUCUCAAUCUCUCACAACUUUGAACACCUCAACAAAACCUCACUCUCUGAUACUGUGAAGCUGUCCAGGUUGUUUGCUCUGAGGGGAGAAUUCCAGAAGACUUUCCAGAGGGUUUUUACAUAAAAAACAGUAUGUGGUUAGUUGUUCAGUUCAGUCAACUUUAGCUGGACAUUCAAGGAGUAUGCUAAUGGAGCCUUUGUAUUGUAAGAGCAGGCCCAAAUCCUCUAUUUGGAGGUCUAAAAUUGACAUUUUCAAUUUUCAGAAGGUCAAGCCAUAUAUGGGCAGAACUAGAAGGAGAAGGAAUGCUUCAUGCCAUAUAUUUUAUGAAGGAUGAUCAUGGAGAUUGGACAGUCUCCUACAAAACAAAUAUGUUAAGCCAGAGACCUUCAAGCUAGAGAAACAAAGAAACAAGCCGUCUUUCCUUCCUGCAGCUCAAGGAGAUCAUCUAGCUAUUUUAGCAGCUUUUCUUCUGAAUCUGGUAGAGCUGAUAUUUUCCCUUCAGCUUUUAGAAAAUAAAGGAUCACGCUAGCACUUCAUAGUCUGGAAUAUUCUCUCAUUGAAAUGGUAAGAAGUUUUGGAUUGCCUUUUGAUAUAUAUGAGAGUUCUAUAAGCCAUUUUCUUUUCUAUCUUACACUUUUCCAGUUGAGAUUUGGCAUGAUUAGUAAGAAAUUCAGCAACACAAACAUUUCUAUGCAUUCGGGGAGGUUCUACGCUGUCUCAGAGAGCCACCUGCCUGCCACAAGAGAUUGGCAUAUUUACUCUGGAGACCUUGGAGGAGUGGGAUCUCAAUGGAGCUUGGAACCGGCUUUUCACUAGCCAUCCAAAGGUUCUUUUAUUUUAUCUGUUAUAAAACCAGUAUCGUGUCCAUGAUUAACUUAGUGAAUUUUUCGGUAUUUUAUAUCAUUCACUCUUUUAUGUUGUUGUGUUAA